AAUCAACGCUGGCGGCGUGCCUAACACAUGCAAGUCGAACGCGAAAGUCCCGCAAGGGAUUAGUAGAGUGGCAAACGGGUGAGUAACACGUGGGUGACCUGCCUUCGAGCGGGGGAUAACGUCCCGAAAGGGACGCUAAUACCGCAUAACAUCCUGCCUUUUAAGAGGUGGAGAUCAAAGCCGGGGGAUUCGCAAGAACCUGGCACUUGAAGAGGGGCCCGCGCCUGAUUAGCUAGUGGUGGGGUAAUGGCCUACCAAGGCAACGAUCAGUAUCCGGCCUGAGAGGGCGGACGGACACACUGGGACUGAGACACGGCCCAGACUCCUACGGGAGGCAGCAGGUGGGGAAUUGUUCGCAAUGGGCGCAAGCCUGACGACGCAACGCCGCGUGGAGGAUGAAGACCU
rnacentral:rRNA from 1 species